rnacentral:rRNA from 1 species
UAAAGACAUAACUCCUACACCCCGGUUAAUAUAUUCUACAGACUCAAAUCCAAAGAAUUUGGCGGUAUCUUAAAUAAUCAGGGGAACCUGUACCUUAAUUUGAUAGUCCACACAACUCAAACUAUAUCUUGAACUUCAGCCUGUGUACUGCUGUCGCCAGUAAACCUCUAAAAGCCAGUUUACAACAAUAUUACUCUACUAACGUCAAGUCAAAGUGCAGCCAAUGAUAUAGAGGAUAUGGGUUACAAUUUCUCCAAAUAAAUUCAUGAAUUACUAUAAUAAAAAUAGUAUAAAGGUGAACUUGCCAGUAAUAUAUCACAAAAAAACUAUAUGAACAAAAACCUAAGAUAUGCACACAUCGCCCGUCGCUCUCACACAAUUUG